rnacentral:rRNA from 1 species
GUGCCAGCCGCCGCGGUAAUACGUAGGGUGCGAGCGUUAAUCGGAAUUACUGGGCGUAAAGCGUGCGCAGGCGGUUUUGUAAGACAGGCGUGAAAUCCCCGGGCUCAACCUGGGAACUGCGCUUGUGACUGCAAGACUAGAGUACGGCAGAGGGGGGUGGAAUUCCACGUGUAGCAGUGAAAUGCGUAGAGAUGUGGAGGAACACCAAUGGCGAAGGCAGCCCCCUGGGUCGAUACUGACGCUCAUGCACGAAAGCGUGGGGAGCAAACAGGAUUAGAUACCCUGGUAGUCCACGCCCUAAACGAUGUCAACUAGUUGUUGGUAGGGUAAAACCUAUUAGUAACGGAGCUAACGCGUGAAGUUGACCGCCUGGGGAGUACGGCCGCAAGGUUAAAACUUAAAGGAAUUGACGG